rnacentral:snRNA from 1 species
GUGUAGUAGCAGUGGCAGUAUCAUAGCCAAUGAGGUUAAUCUGAGGUGUGAUUAUUGCUAGUUGAAAAACUCCCACACCCCAAUCUGGAUCUAUGCUGGUUAUGUGAUAUGUAUGUACCUCGUGAACCUUGUAACCGAUACUCGCAAGCCCGACCCCAGAUGUACAGUAUCUUCCCUCUUAACUUGUGUAAAUUUGAUUUCAAACAUUAACUUUAAUAAAAUUUUUAAAUUUGUUCAGAAAUA